GAUGAACGCUGGCGGCGUGCCUAAUACAUGCAAGUCGAGCGAACAGAUAAGGAGCUUGCUCCUUUGACGUUAGCGGCGGACGGGUGAGUAACACGUGGGUAACCUACCUAUAAGACUGGAAUAACUCCGGGAAACCGGGGCUAAUGCCGGAUAACAUUUAGAACCGCAUGGUUCUAAAGUGAAAGAUGGUUUUGCUAUCACUUAUAGAUGGACCCGCGCCGUAUUAGCUAGUUGGUAAGGUAACGGCUUACCAAGGCAACGAUACGUAGCCGACCUGAGAGGGUGAUCGGCCACACUGGAACUGAGACACGGUCCAGACUCCUACGGGAGGCAGCAGUAGGGAAUCUUCCGCAAUGGGCGAAAGCCUGACGGAGCAACGCCGCGUGAGUGAUGAAGGUCUUCGGAUCGUAAAACUUUGUUAUUAGGGAAGAACAAAUGUGUAAGUAACUGUGCACGUCUUGACGGUACCUAAUCAGAAAGCCACGGCUAACUACGUG
rnacentral:rRNA from 1 species